UCCCCGUUGCCGAGGCAGUCUGGCUAGAAAUAUACAACUAGCCACGAGGGUUGCGCUCGUUGAAGGACUUAACCUAACAUCUCACGACACGAGCUGACGACGGCCAUGCAUCACCUGUCAUCGGGUUCCUUGCGGCACAGCCUAAUUUCUUAGGCCUUCCCGAGAUGUCAAGCCUUGGUAAGGUUCUUCGCGUAGCCUCGAAUUAAACCACACGCUCCACCGCUUGUGCGGGUCCCCGUCAAUUCCUUUGAGUUUUAGCCUUGCGGCCGUACUCCCCAGGCGGGAUGCUUAACGCGUUAGCUUCGCUACCGAACGGGUCGAUACGUCCGACAGCCAGCAUCCAUCGUUUACGGCGUGGACUAC
rnacentral:misc_RNA from 1 species